GAUGAACGCUGGCGGCGUGCCUAAUACAUGCAAGUCGAGCGAACAGACGAGGAGCUUGCUCCUCUGACGUUAGCGGCGGACGGGUGAGUAACACGUGGAUAACCUACCUAUAAGACUGGGAUAACUUCGGGAAACCGGAGCUAAUACCGGAUAAUAUAUUGAACCGCAUGGUUCAAUAGUGAAAGACGGUUUUGCUGGCACUUAUAGAUGGUUCCGCGCCGCAUUAGCUAGUUGGUAAGGUAACGGCUUACCAAGGCAACGAUGCGUAGCCGAGCGGAGAGAGUGGUAGGCCACCUGGGAACGUGACCGCGGUCAAGGCUCCUACGGGACGCACCAGUAGCGAACGUUCCGCAACGGGGGAAAGCUUGACGGAGCAACGCCGCGUGUGAGAUGAAGGUCUUCCGAUCGUAAAGCUCUGUUUCGAGGGAAAAACAAAUGUCUAAGUAACUAAGCACGUAUUGACGGUACCUGAUCAGAAAGCCCCGGCUAACUACGUG
rnacentral:rRNA from 1 species